rnacentral:rRNA from 1 species
GACGAACGCUGGCGGCGUGCUUAACACAUGCGAGUCGAACGGUGAAGCGCCUUCCUUUUUGGUGGGUGUGGAUGAGUGGCGAACGGGUGAGUAACACGUGAGUAACCUGCCCCCUUCUUCUGGAUAACCGCAUGAAAGUGAGGCUAAUACGGGAUAUUCUGGGUCUGUCGCAUGAUGGGUCUGGGAAAGAUAUUGUUUCGGUGGGGGAUGGGCUCGCGGCCUAUCAGCUUGUUGGUGGGGUGAUGGCCUACCAAGGCGGUGACGGGUAGCCGGCCUGAGAGGGUGGACGGUCACACUGGGACUGAGACACGGCCCAGACUCCUACGGGAGGCAGCAGUGGGGAAUAUUGCACAAUGGGCGCAAGCCUGAUGCAGCGACGCCGCGUGAGGGAUGGAGGCCUUCGGGUUGUGAACCUCUUUCGCCAGUGAAGCAGGCCUGCCUCGUUUGUGGGUGGGUUGACGGUAGCUGGAUAAGAAGCGCCGGCUAACUACGUG